UUAUUGUCACCCAGUGUUACAGUGUGUUACAGUGUGUUACAGUGUGUUACAGUGUGUUACAGUGUGUUACAGUGUGUUACCUUGUGUUGCCAGCCUACUCGUCGUGUUUCCCUGCUUAUUCUGGAUUCUGGUUUUCUCGUUUGGAUUACUUUGUUUUGGACUCUGUCAUCAGCCACUCAGUUUGUAAGUGUGCUCGCCUUUGUUUGUUUAUUAAAACCCCUUGAAUUGUACCUCCUUUGCCUUGCGUCCUACAUCUGGGUCCUCCAACCUGCUCAACCCUGCCUUCACUUCAAAACCGUGACAAGGAAAAGCUGUCUGCAGGAUCAAAGGAGCCUGAAUCCUGGUGAUGGCCUGCCUUGUUUGAUGUCUUGCAAGUCAAUGUGUGUGAGUUCCAGAGGAUCAUCACA